GACUUGUUGAGCAGCCUGGCUUCAAAUAUACGGCUUCCAUGCUUUUUGAUGCGAUGCUCGUAAAAAGCCACCGGAUCUCGAUAGAAUUCGAGCGACUUGUCACUGAGCAGUGAUACUCCAGAGCUUCCAGGGCAUACCAUGGAUGAAAAAUACCACUUGAUACACUAUCUAAGGAGAGGUGUUGAGCCGGCUUGAAGCCUAGCUCAAAGUUCGGGAACAGAUGCACUGUGACCCAUAUUAGCUGUAAUAGUAGCUGCCUGAUCAAGGGUGAGCCUCCCUCCCUGUCUUAUCCUGGGUGUCUAAAGCCGUGGUUCUCAAUCUCUGUCCUGGAAGACUCCUGUCUUUGCUGUUUUUAUUUUUUAUUUUUUGAAACCAACCUCUAGACCAAUGAACAUAUUUGAUUAUGUUCUUUCAGAAUUUAUUUCUUUAAAUUUAUUGACUCAAUACAGGUUUGGCUUGUUAUUUGCUUUGUCUUUGAAUUCUUCAUGAUCUGACAAAGGGCUUAGUUUCAGUGACCAUCUGUCUGUAUAUAUUCACCUAUUAGGACCCCACUGAUUCACCUGUCAGCCUUGUGUGCAUGUGUGUGUGUAUGUGUAUAUAUUACAUAUAUGUAUUAUUGACGACUAUUCUCUACAUGUAUAUACUUCUUUCCCUUUUACAGUCUGCUGUCAACAAGUAAACACAGUGUGACAGUUAUAAAUUUGCAGUGCUCAAUUUUACCGAAUUCAUUUAAUGUACAGUGCUUUAGAGUGAAAUGUUCAGUGAUAAAGGAACUCUUACAGAUAAUUUAUGGUCUCUAUUGGACUCAUAUGUACUCUGUUACAGUUGAAUUAACGCCAGACAUUUUACUGUUUAUAAGCAUAUUUUGAUCCUCAUAUAAAUUAUAAAUUUUUAAAUGUCAUGGUUGCCAUACCAACUGCUGCUCUUUGUCCACUGGUGUUAUCACGUGACAUCAUUUAAAAUCAGGCGGAGGUGGCUCUGUUUCAUAGGCAUGUAGGAGCUGCAAAUUUUGUUCCUGUCAUUUUCAUUUCACCCACAGAUGUCACUUGUACACGUACGAAAAUAAAGGAACUUAACUGAUGUCAUUAACAUCAAUUGAAAAAACCAUGGGCAACAAAGACAUUAUUCAUUAUUUAGCAAUGACUAAAUUAAAAAGUCAGUUUCAUCAGCAACUCCCAAGUGGAAGGCAUAAAGCAAUUUUAAAAAAUUGUUGCUGAAUACUGGAGCUUCCCACAUCUUUCUUACGCAACAAGUCACUCACUUACACACUCACUCUCUCUCACACACACGCACACACACACACACACACACACAUGCACACAUAUCUACACACUCACUCACACACACGCACACACAUAGCUACACACACACUCAUGCGCACACAUAUCUAUAUGCACACACAUAUCUACACACACAAUCACGCACACACAUCCACGCUGACAAAAAAAAAAGCACACACACACAGACACAUAUAGUCACACAGAGACAACCUCACAGCCGCAUGGGAACAACAACAACAGAUAUAUUAGAUCUUUAUGGGAGAUAAAUUUGUUUUUAAAUAGACUUUAGUGAGUAAUCCCUCUUUCGGACAUUGCUGACUUAAUUAGCAGUUAUGUCAUAUUUUAUGAACAGCCAAUCCUGGUCCAGGAGUGCCAGAGAUGUGUCUGGUUUAGCUCCACAUGAACCCCCAAGAGCAUAACUGGAUUAAUUAUUAUACUUAAUGAGGGAGCAUGUGUUGGAGACCUUCUGAGUUUUACUCUUCAGACUUUGAAUAUUCCAGCCCAGGCUCUUAAAAAUCCAUUAACUGUGCAAAAGCGCAGACUAAAAACAAAACCCAGAUACAUCUCAGGAACUCCAGCGCCCAGCCCUUCCAGAGUUGCUUAUCUCAGAGUAUCAGAGUUGCCUGUUGUUUGCUUUCAACAGAGGCACAACAAUGAUUUACAGAGAAAUAUGAAAAUUGGCCCAACCUGAACCCCAAAAAGCUAUUCAGUGAGGUUAAAAAAAAACACCUUAGUGGGAGGCAAAAACACUGAAACAUUAUUUUACAGAGUUUCCUGCUUUGUGUCAGUAGUUAAAGUUGGGGGAAAAUGGUAAUGCAGAGAAAAUUGGGAACCUCUCAAAUUAUCAUAGUGGCUGGGCAGAAUAUAGCUCAGGGUAGCUGGAAAGAAAGACAGCCCAAGCAGGGCAGUGUGUAUUCAUUAGCAGGUCAAAAAUAACGAACUAAACCCAUAUAAAUGAACUGAAGUGAGAUAGAAAAUUGUACUGUAUUAAAUUAUUUGUGCGUUAUAAACUGUUUAAGUCUGUUAAAACUCCCACCAGUCUGUUUAUGCUGCAUGUUAACCCUUCUGAGACUGCUUUUCCUUUUAUGCUCUCAACUUGUUCCCGCUGAUCAGAAGUUUUACUACGGCAGAAUAAUUUAUUAGUAAUUUAUAAAAAGGACUGUAAUUUCUUAAUGGAUCCUAUGGAUGUAAUCCUUAAAUUAAAGCUGACAGUCUGCACUUCAA